rnacentral:lncRNA from 1 species
UGCCUUGAAAGCUAUUUCAGUUCGACUCCAGUGCAAAUCCUUCUGCAAAACGUACUACAUAAUUUGAUAUUGUUCACUGAUAGCUCUGAAACAAAAAAUAGUUAAAAUUACAAUGAAGAUUAAAUGACUGUACAAGUACUCCAUGCUUAUUAUUUCUUAGACUAUUUGACAAACUUUUCUAGCUAUUGGAUAUGUAUACUAUUGAGAAGGGCAUACAUGGAUGCACAUGUUAGCCUAACUAAUUAUGGUUAGUUGAGUGAGUUCGAAAGCAUGGAAUUUAAUAGUUCUUUUUUGAUAGAGCAGAGGCAAGCCGAGGAAAUAUUGUAGAGAGGUAAUUAGACAAGACAUG